GGGGCAGGUGUCGGUAGGAUUGCGGGGGAUUGCAGAGCCAGCGCCAUCGCCAUCGCCACAGCCUUCGUUGCCGCAUGAGAGAGAGUGUGUCAACAGGGGACAACUGGGGUCGAAGGAGCGUCGAACAGGGAGAAAGGAAGGAAGGGGCCGUGACCAGCGAGGCCACGCCACCGUACUUCACGCCACGGCAGGGCCGCGAGGGAGGGAGGGAGAGAGGGACCAGCGAAGGAGAAGCCAGUUAGAAUCUUCUUCUUCUUCAUCUUCGUUGUCUUUCCUUCUUUCUUGUGGUACCAGAUGAGCCUUCCUUCCGUCUUCUGUCAGCUUCCGUUUAUGGCAUUUCUUGUUUCCUCACUGCAAGAAUUGGAACCGCAGUCGGUUUCGUGACCUGCGGACUUGUGGCGUCCGUCAAUGUGGACGAUUUUCUCCCUUCGGCGCCUGCCCGCAUUGCAAGUGUAGGUCAGUUUUCCCAGCGCAACGUAAUUCGAGUUACGAUGGAUACAGAGACGCUUGAUAUUUGAAGCGCAAUGACAAACCUCUCCUCGUCAAGGGAGUGAUCGGACGGUCAGCGCAAGGGUAGCGUUACGUAAUAUUAGAGUUUGAGCGAUUUGGAGGUUCCGGCAAGGAGUGGACAUAGCGACAGAUGGAGAAUGGAGGGGCUUGGUAAAGGAGGAGGAAGAGAUGGCAGGAGUGGACAAGAAGGAUGCCCACUGGCAAUGUCGGCUCUGGUGGCCCAAACACCUCGCCGGGGCGCAGCUUGUCACCUCCAUGGCGCUAGUCGGUUGGGUCUCCUUCUCAGAUCCCUGCUCUCUAGACCUAGUUAUUGCUGCGACCUGCUCUCUACCAACUUCACGACUUUUCCAGGCUGUAGAAGAUAUUUUGAAUUCCACUGGCAAAAGGUUGCUGGGUCAGAUUCCAGGAGCAACACCUCCGUGCAUUUUAGGUCAAUACCAUCCAUUAUCUACAUGGAAUAAGGGGCAUGCAGAACGUAAAGAUAGAGACAAGGGUGCAGUUAAUGGAGUUGGUGGCUGUGCUGAUUCAAACACCUACGUCAAAGAAAAUACAGGGAACACUAGUGGUAAUGUGAACGGCUUCAAGCGGUGCCCUGCUGUCUGGGCAACUGCAGUAGCCUGGAAGGUCGAGGGUGGUGGAUUUGUGCCAAGAUUAGUGUAUAUUGGUGUUCGGGGUGUACAAUAUCAUGCUGUUACCCAUAUAGUAUUUUAUGAACAGUCUCAAUAUGGUAGAGGCCAUUUAUCUUGUCGGAUGUGGUCCUCAGCACAUCUUGCAAAGCAAGCUUGUCUGAGGUCGACGAUCAAACCCAAAUGGGUGAUGGAUGCCGCAGCUGAGAAACAAUCGGCACCUGAUAUUGAAAGGGUGAUUGAGCAGCUCAAUUGUAGUUCUUUUGUGGAGAAGACACUUGCGCUGUGUUUGGGCACAACUCCUGCAAAGACAUCUCUUCUCCAGAAUUGGUGGUGGCGUACUACAGCAGUUUUUGUUGCAUCUGUUGCAACCAUCCUCUACAUUCUUGCGUGGGCAUGUUCCACUCUCUUAGAUAGUUGGUUGUCUAUUGUUCCAUGCAUUGGAUGUGUUCAACAGAUGAGCCACACGUGGCAUGCUUUACAUCUCCGAUGUCAUCAACUUUUAGCGUGGCCAUUCAUUCUGCACUGGGGUGGCGUAGGGUCUGAGCAAGCAAAUGUAGCCAUGGCGCACCGUUGUGCUCAAAACAGACACGCAACCUGGACUGCGAUAGUGGUGGACAUGGUUUUGGGCGCCAUAGCGGGUGUUCUGGUUCUCUAUCACGAACUGGCAAUCGCCAAUUUUGUACAUAGAAUGGUCCGGACGUUGACCGAUGACAUCAUGCGAACUGGCUGCAUAUGGUUAAUGGGAGUCCCUGCAGGUUUCAAAUUAAACGAGGAGCUUGCGACAAGGCUUGGAACUCUCGCAUUACAUGUGAUUCAGACCUGGGCAACUGUGGGUGCCCUAGUUAAGCCAGCGCUUCGAAUAUUUUUACCAAUUCUGGCUCUCUUUGGGAUCCUUAUGGGUCUCACUGUCCCAGUGGCAAUGCUAGUGGACACAUUACUAUUGGGUUCAAUACAUAUUGCUGCUCUUCACCAAGCUACCGCAUCCUUGUAUGCGAGCCAGCUCCGUGCACUGGCUGCUCUCUGGCGCCUUUUCGGAGCCAAGAAAAGGAAUCCAUUGAGAGGCAGGCAAGAUUCUUAUGAGUGCUCGGUGGAGCAGUUGGUUGUGGGGUCGCUUAUGUUUGCCCCUCUUCUUUUGCUGCUUCCUACAACCUCUGUUUUUUACACCUUCUUUACCCUCAUCUAUUCCAUCAUUUCAAUCGUAAGGCUGUGCCUGCAGUACCUGAUACUCAUCCUUCAAUGGUUCCCUUACGUUGAGGUUGCGCUAUGGCUUCUUCAGCCUAAAAGGUUUCCUUCUGGUAUUUGGUUCAAGUCGCUAUAUGCUGGUCACCUGCCAAGUAAAUCUCUGCCAACAAAAUCUGAUAGUGAAAUCAACGGUUCAAGAGGACUCUGGAGCUUAGCUCACACAAAUGGGGGCUCUACAGAACCUACGGACAAGGAAGAGUGGAAAACCACAUUAGUGUCAUCAUUAGGUGUUGAGACUGCCGGCAUAGGAGAAUUGCUAGCCCCUUUUGCAGCGCAGCUAGGGGGAGUCUGCACUUUAAGAUCUGCUGUGGCAUUAAUGUACAAGUCUGUAAGCGGUGGCAGGUAGCUGAGCCGAAUAAUUUCACCUGCUGUCAUUUUGGUUUACAGCAAUAUACCAGGAUACCUUUGGCAUUGGAGUUGGAAAAGGGAGCAAAGCUCCCACAUACAUUAGUAAGUGUGCGUAAAUUUUGGAAGUUGUGUUAUGAAGCCAUUUUUCCAUCUGCCCAGGCGUAGUGGAGCUUCCUCUGUGGCAUCAACCACCAUCCAAUACUAGUUUUAAUCAUUCUUCUAAGCCCUUGAUGCGUCACCUCUUACUGCACGCGGCUUGUUUACCGAGGUCUUAAGACCUCGGUAUUACCCGAGUAAUUUACCUUUCGUUUCGAGUGGAUCCAUUUAUACUAAAUCUGCCAAGCAUGUUUAAGGCACUACGUUCGUUGUGGUGAUCACUUCUUCCAAGUUUUCUCCGCAUCGAUUCCAUUUCCAGAGGUUUUGCAUUCAGAUCUGCAACAGUCGAAAUUAGAAAUAGGUGUAUUUUAUAUGGAUUUGACUAUUGUCAUAGAUACUUCCUUUUUCUGUUCUUGUUCGGGUUGGAUCAAUCAAAGAACCCUUUUGACGAGGACUGAACAUCACACUAGGAUGGUAGAAGCAGCUAGAUAGCAACUCUUUGUACGGAAAGGGAGAUGAAACAGCUACAUCUUAUGUCUCCAGAGCAAAUUGUUUAGACACAAUUUUGCAUGAUGCAACCUAAAUUGUGAGUACAGGAAGUAACCAAUGUUGCUUUGAAUUUUACUCGGGUAAUACCAUAUUUGGCAAGCAGCUCAAGCUA